AUGUGUUGUUCAUGCUUUGACUUACAACGGCGGCAGCUUUUCAGAGAUUCUGCGGAGUGGCUGUGCGAGAUGAGAAGCUCUAAAUGCAGUUGCAGAGCGCUGGUUCAGCGUUGCAGGGCUGAGGCAGCCGCCCGCCCGGCCGGGGCUGUGGGACUUGGCCGCGCUGCGCAGGAAGGAAGGGCGGCUCCGGCGGAGGUUUCCUGCCCUGCCGCGGUGCGAUGCUCGCCGCUGCUCCUGCACUCGGCUGUCCUGCGGGGUCACCAGCGGGAGGGACCCUGCAAGCAGGGAAGAACGGUGGCUGCACCUCAGAAACGUACAAGGAACGAAUACCCUGUCUCGCUGGACUCUCCCAGGUUUCCCUCUCCCCUUGCAGCAUUGCUGUGCCACUGCCUGCCUUUGUAGAGGCCAGGUCUCGCGGGUUCUUUUAAUAUUUACGUGUCUGUUGCGUGUGGCAGAGUGGGACAAAGCACAGAGGCUGGCACAGAAGUACCAGCACAGCAGUGGUGAUGUGGGGAUGUGGCUCUGCCCCGGGCUUAGCUGCUGUGGUGAACCUGGCACCUCCUCUGCCCAAGGGUCACGCAGGUGAGCGCCUCUGCUGCUCUGUGGCCACUCCGGUCCUUCCCACCAAAGCAGAGCCCUGCAGGGGCCCUGGGCUCGGCCACGAGGGCAACGAGCCCCUGUCUGGACAGAUGUUUGCAGGCUGCCCAAGUGCAGGGCUGUCCUGAUGUGCAAACCACCUGCAGAGCUUAGUGGCAAUGGGUUAUUGCUACAGGAGGUAGGAGCUACACCCUGUUAGGACACAGUACCUGUGUACCUCUGUGGCUGCACCGAGUGAGCACUGGGGUUAAGACCAGAACGAUGCCACGGGGUUAAAACGAGAACGGUGGGGCUGCUGGGGUUAAAGGCAGAACGGUGGGGCUGCUGGGGUUAAAACCGGAAUGAUGGGGCUGCUGGGGUUAAAACCAGAACGAUGCCACGGGGUUAAAGGCAGAACGGUGGGGCUGCUGGGGUUAAAGGCAGAACGAUGCCACGGGAGCGGUGAGAGCUCGUUCCGGUGCAGCUGCACGGGAGGCUCCGGCAGAGCAGCUGAACCAGGAGCGGCGUGCCCCGGCAGUCAGUCGGCGUCUGUGACUGACACCUCUGCGAUGAACGAUUGUCAUCUGGCGUGAACGCUCCUUGUGCUCAGUCCCCACAUCAAACCACUGAACUCAUGUGAGAAUCACAUGCCAGAGCACGUCACCCGUGUGGCCUUUCCAGCUGCCCCUGGCUCGUCUGGACACGCAGCUGCCCCCGCCGCCGAGGCCCCGCACCCGGCUCCUCCUCACCGCCCCGGAGCGCUGCCCGCAGCCCUCGGAGCGCAUCUUCUCAGCUCAGCGGGGCUGAAAUGGAAAAGAGCCGCCAGCAGGGCAGUUCCGCACGGGAGCAGAUGAAACCUGACAGCCGGGCCGGGGCGGGGAGCUGCUGGGUGGGAGUGACGGGGAGAGGUGCGAUGGCCAGGAAUUCUCACCCCGUGAGCCCAGCAGGAGCUUUGUGACUCAAAGGAAAUGCUGUAGCGGGAAUCAAAAAAGGAGAGCAGCGAGACAGAUCAACUUCCCAUUCACCAUUGUUGUCCUCCCGGUGCAAAUGGCCCCUUUGGCUGCUCUGAGGAGACUGGCAGGGACUGGGGUUAGGCCACCUGGAAACAGGUGAGUCUUGAGGGUUUGGGGCAUCUUGUCUGGCAAUCUUUCUCUGCCAGCCUUCAGAUGGGCUGUCCCUGCACUUGCCAUGAGCUCGUUACAGUUUCAGUUGAUCAGCAUGGACCUUGAGGCGAAUUUCUGGAUGUUCUUGUGAUAUUUGUGCUCCUGGUCUACUGAUGAUAUGCAAGAAAAUACUCAAUGGUCAGUUUCUAUUUUGCAGCUCUAAAAUCAACACUGCAGGAUUCAACCUCUCCUUGUAUUUUCCUUUAGAUUAUUUUUUUCUUUUCUACUUCUUUUUUUUGUUUGUUUCUUUUUUUUUUUUGUCUACCAUUAGAGAUCUUUUAGUUAAAAUAAAUUAUUAAAAACAUAACUGUCA
ensembl:lncRNA